rnacentral:rRNA from 1 species
UACGUAGGGUGCGAGCGUUGUCCGGAAUUAUUGGGCGUAAAGAGCUUGUAGGCGGUUUGUCGCGUCUGCCGUGAAAGCCCAGGGCUUAACCCUGGGUCUGCGGUGGGUACGGGCAGACUAGAGUGUGGUAGGGGAGACUGGAAUUCCUGGUGUAGCGGUGAAAUGCGCAGAUAUCAGGAAGAACACCCGUGGCUAAGGCGGCUCUCUAGUACGGUACUGACGCUGAGACGCGAAAGCGUGGGGAGCGAACAGG